UACGUAGGGGGCUAGCGUUGUCCGGAAUCAUUGGGCGUAAAGAGCGUGUAGGCGGUCCGGUAAGUCCGCUGUGAAAGUCGGGGGCUCAACCUUCGAAUGCCGGUGGAUACUGUCGGGCUAGAGUGCGGAAGAGGCGAGUGGAAUUCCUGGUGUAGCGGUGAAAUGCGCAGAUAUCAGGAGGAACACCAAUUGCGAAGGCAGCUCGCUGGGACGUAACUGACGCUGAGACGCGAAAGCGUGGGGAGCAAACAGG
rnacentral:rRNA from 1 species